UUGGUCCUACGGGGGGCAGCAGUGGGGAAUAUUGCGCAAUGGACGAAAGUCUGACGCAGCGACGCCGCGUGAGGGAUGAAGGUUUUCGGAUCGUAAACCUCUGUCAGGAGGGAAGAAAGCGCAUGGCGCCAAUCAGCCAUGCGUUGACGGUACCUCCAAAGGAAGCGCCGGCUAACUCCGUGCCAGCAGCCGCGGUAAUACGGAGGAUGCGAGCGUUAUCCGGAUUUAUUGGGUUUAAAGGGUGCGCAGGCGGGAGAUCAAGUCAGCGGUAAAAUGUCGGGGCUCAACCCCGGCCGGCCGUUGAA
rnacentral:rRNA from 1 species